CGGGAUGUAGCGCAGUUGGUAGCGCGCUUGGUUUGGGACCAAGAUGUAGCAGGUUCAAAUCCUGUCAUUCCGACCA
rnacentral:tRNA from 1 species